UGGCAAAUAAGUGUAUACAAUUCAAGAUGCGUGGCCCAGAGUUUAUAAAAGUGAAUUUUUUAAGUUGAUAUUCUGAUUUGAGUGCGGCAAUUUUUUGUAAUAGUUCAGGGCCCGUCCGGUAGAGAUCGCGGCAGUACAGGCUUCGUUUCUCACUAUAGGAGAUAGCGUUCUGUAUCCUUCCCUGUUCUGUGGGUUGAAGAUGACCGAAAAUAUAGAAUCAAUUAUUUGAUAGAAUGCCGACAGUAGAAAAGAAGACAGAAUGGAUGAGCAAGUAUAUUAAUGUAGAAAAUUUGUGCUGAAAAUUUACACAUUACAUUUUUGCUUUCAUUUACAAGACUGCCAACUGCCACAAGACUGUCUUUAAAAUGUCUGCUGUCACCAUUGAUGACCUCCCGCCAGAAUUAAUGAUGAAAAUCUUUGAGUCCUUGAGGCCGGAGGAACUGUUGAUUGUCCAGGACGUGAGCACCAAGUGGCAGGUGUUUGCUCGAACCUCUUCUGUGUGGGAGACCUUUGUGUAUUCACCAGAGACAGAUUCCAGCGAGGAAGAUGUGAUCGCUUUCUUGGAGAAGUGUCCUAUGUUAAAGCACAUUCGUACCAAAGACAUUUUGGACAAAGAUAAGAUUAUUCCUGCUGUCAUCAAAAAUUGUUAUGAUAUCCACAGUUUUUGUGUUGAGUUCAUGCCAUCACUGGACAUUUCACAACUUGAAGCUUUAUUUGAAGCCUUUCCAAAUAUAGACACUUUGUUGAUCAGGAUUGAGUACCAUAAUGCGUCUGAGAUUGUAGACAGACUGAGUAGAUGUACAAAGCUGAAGAAACUCAUACUAAGUGGUCAGUGUUGUCUUGACGGUGUAUUCAAGCCAAUUGUUGAUGGCUGUCCUUCUUUAGAAUACUUGAGCUUUAAUGGGGGCUUUCCAAAUGUUUCUAAGAGAGAUAUUCUGUAUGUGUUACAAAAUAUGAAUGAUAGGUUAUCGUAUCUGCGGUUUGGGUAUUCCCCGAUAAGACAACAGAUUGUAAACUUACUUGGAACUUUCACCAAACUUGAAGACAUUAUGUUACAUGAUGCCACACAUAACCAUAUUGUGGAUUUUAAACCCCUGGCCAACAUCAAAACCUUGAAGUGUUUGAAAUUUGAGUCUUUUGCUUCAGAAUUCAGUGAAAUGUGCAGGUUUUUAGAUGUUUUGUUUGGUCAACCUUUUCCUUUGCUUGAAAAGUUGGACAUAUGUUUUUUUCAUUGUGAGUAUGACAAGACUGUGUUACAGAAAAUUUGUCAAUGUUACCCAAACUUGAAAUAUUUGCGCUUGUAUGGAAAACAUCCUGCUGACAUCAAAGAUGGUUUUAAGGACAUCUGUAAGUUGCAGAGACUAGAAAGUCUGGGAUUUUCUUCAAGUCGGACAGUAACGGAUGAAGAUAUUGAAACGUUAAGUCACUGCCUUAAGCUGAAAGAACUUGACUUAAGUGCAAAUCACUUGCUUACAGAUAAAACCAUUGUGCACCUUGCGAAAUGUAAGGCCCUAGAAACACUGGACCUUAGUUAUUCUUCAAUUACCGGGGAAAACCUGCAUAUUGUUGCUGAAAAUUUGAAACGACUCAAAAAUCUGGAUGUAAAGCAGUGCAAAUAUUUGGAUGAAAAGUAUUUAUUAGCACUUGCUGAUAUGAUGCCUUUUUUAAAUAUAAUUAAAGAUGGAGGUAUUUGUUUUGGUUGAGAUAUUUUUAUAUGAGUGUACAUGAGAUCCAAAUGUUAUUGUAAUGUUAUAAUUUUUUUGGUAUAACAAAUGCUUGUUGUUAUAGAUAAAGGUAAUAUUUGUGGAUUAUCUUCCAUACAUUUAGCACUGACAGUAGUUCCAGUGGAUGGACCUUGAACUAGAUUUUUAAGAAAUGUUAGUGUUCAUUCAUAUAAAUUUUAAAAAAAUUUACUGGUAUGUUUGAAUUAAAAAUAUAAACAAAUUAAUGUAUUAAUUUUAUAAUAUACCUAGUGCUGCUUACAUAAUUGUUAGUUCUGUUGCAUAGCCAGUUGUUUUAACUUCCUAACACAAUAAUGUAAACAAAAUUUAAUAUACUGUAGUUGGAUUUUAUAACCUCAAGUUUAUUUGUUGGUUGUUAUCACAAAUAGUGACCACUAAACUUUGAAAGUACAUGGGACAAUUUUGUCAUUAAAACAUAACUUUUUGUACAUGAAGUAGGUGAAUGCAAUUGAUGUCAAGAAAUAUUUUAUGUUUUUUUAUUUGACAAGUUAUGCAAGUAUGAUUUUAAAAAUUUGUAUAAAUUAAAAUUAUACUAAUAUCAGUAAGAUCUUGUGUUAUGUAAGGCCGGCCACACACGUAACGGUAUACAUGACAGGUAAACCUGUACAGGUCACCUGCGCAGGCAAACCGGAGCGUGUGUGCCAGUCACUGCAGGCGAAACUGCACAGGCGAAGCGACCUGCGCAGGUGACCUGACAGGAACGGAGAUUUGGUAUCUUGUACCUGCGCAGUCGUCAGUUAUACCCUAGACCUGAGCGUGUGUGUGAGUACGUCCGGUCGCCUGCGCAGUUGUUUUGUUUAGUUGAGGCUUCUUCCUUGUGAAGAGAGUGUCUUUUGUCUUUGUGUUUUGUAGUUAGCGGCUAUCUUGUGGCUACUGGUGCUAGUGAUGUCGAGUCAUAAACGCAACCAAGUAAUUGAAGACUUUAUCGAUAUGUAUAAACUCGAGCCGUGCCUGUGGCGGGUAAAAAGUAAAGAGUAUCACGAUCGCGAAAAGAGAGAUGCAGCUUAUGCGAAACUUUUGCUCAAGUUGAAAGAACUGGAAACCUAUGCAACAAAGAAAUCUGUGAUUAGAAAGAUUAAUAGUUUACGAAGCAAUGUUCGAAAAGAGAAGAAAAAACGUGACAUGUCAAUGAAGUCUGGUGCAUCAGCCGACAAUGUCUACGUAUCUAAAUUGUGGUACUUAAAUUUGUUCGACUUUCUUGGUGAUCAAGACAUUCCCAGUGCAUCUAUGUCCAAUUUAGAGGAAGGAGAUGGGAGCGAGAUUGAGGAAGAGGACGUUGAUGAACCAGCUACAACACCGAGCAGAGAAACAUCAAUCAAUAGCGAGGUCCCUUCGCCUGUGGUCCCAAAACCCAACUCAGAUACACGUGCGAUGUCUGCUGUCACCAUUGAUGACCUCCCGCCAGAAUUAAUGAUGAAAAUCUUUGAGUCCUUGAGACCGGAGGAACUGUUGAGUGUCCAGGACGUGAGCACCAAGUGGCAGGUGUUUGCUCGAACCUCUUCUGUGUGGGAGACCUUUGUGUAUUCACCAGAAACAGAUGAAGAUUUGAUCGCUUUCGUGGAGAAGUGUCCUAUGUUGAAGCACAUUCGAACCAAAAACAUUUUAGACAAAGAUAAGAUUAUUCCUGCUGUCAUCAAAAAUUGUUAUGAUAUUCACAGUUUUUGUGUUGAGUUCAUUCCAUCACUGGAAAUUUCACAACUUGAAGCUUUAUUUGAAGCCUUUCCAAAUAUAGACACUUUGUUGGUCAGGAUUGAGAAACAUAAUGCAGCUGAGAUUAUAGACAGACUGAGUAGAUGUAAAAAGCUGAAGAAACUCAUACUAAGUGGUCAACGUUGUCAUGACGGUGUAUUAAAGCCAAUUGUUGAUGGCUGUCCUUCUCUAGAAUACUUGAGCUUUAUUGAGGGCUUUCAAAAUAAUCCAAAAUUAGAUAUUGUGUAUGUGUUACAAAAUAUGAAUGAUAGGUUAUCGUAUCUGCGGUUUGGGUUAUCCCCGAUAACACAGCAGAUUGUAAAUUUACUUGGAACUUUCACUAAACUUGAAGAAGUUUUGUUACAUGAUUCAACACUUAACCGUAAUGUGGAUUUUAGACCCCUGGCCAACAUCAAAACCUUGAAAUGUUUAAAAUUUCAAACUUUUGCUUCAGAAUUCAGUGAAAUGUGCAGGUUUUUAGAUGUUUUGUUUGAUAAACCUUUUCCUUUGCUAGAAAAGUUGGACAUAUGUUUUGUUCAUUGUGAGUAUGACAAGACUGUGUUACAGAAAAUUUGUCAAUGUUACCCAAACUUGAAAUAUUUGCGCUUGUAUGGAAAACAUCCUGCUGAUAUCAAAGAUGGUUUUAAGGAUAUCUGUAAGUUGCAGAGACUAGAAAGUUUGGGAUUUUCUUCAAGUAAGACAGUAACGGAUGAUGAUAUUGAAUCGUUAAGUCACUGCCUUAAGCUGAAAGAACUUGACUUAAGUGCAAAUCACUUGCUUACAGAUAAAACUAUUGGGCACCUUGCGAAAUGUAAGGCCCUAGAAACACUGGACCUUAGUUAUUCUUCAAUUACUGGGGAUAACCUUCAUAUUGUUGCUGAAAAUUUGAAACAACUCAAAAUUCUGGAUGUAAAGCAGUGCAAAUAUUUGGAUGAAAAGAAUUUAUUAGCACUUGCUGAUAAGAUGCCUCUUUUAAAAAUAAUUCAAGAUGGAGGUAUUUGUUAUGGAUGAGAUAUGUUAUGAGUGUACAUAAGAUGCAAAGAUUAUUAUAAUGUUAUCAGUGCUUUGGUAUAACAAAUGCUUGUUGGUUAUAGAUAAAUGUUAUAUUUGUGGAUUAUUUUCCAUACAUUUAGCACUGAUAGUGGUUCCAGUGGUAGAACCUUGAACUAUAUUUUUAAGAAAUAUUCAUGUUCAUUCAUAUAAACAUAAAAAAAAAUUUCUGGAAUGUUUUAAUUAAAAAUAUAAACAAAUAAUGUAUUAAUUUUAUAAUAUACCUAGUGCUGCUUACAUAAUUGUUAUUUCUGUUGCAUAGCCAGUUGUUUUAACUUCCUAACAAAAUAAUUUAAAUGAAAUUUAAUAUACUGUAGUUGGAUUUUAUAACCUUUAGUUUAUAUGUUGGUUGUUAUCACAAAUAGUGACCACUGACCUUGAAAUUACAUGGGACAAUUUUUUUCAUUCAUUACAUUCAUUUUUUGGUGCAUGAAGUAGAUGAAUGCAAUUGAAGUCAACAAAGAUUUUAUGUUUAUAUAUUUCACAAGUUAAUGCAAAUAUGAUUGUAAAAAUUUGUAAAAAUUUAAAUUGUACUUAAAAUCAAUCAGAUCUUUUUGUUAUGUAACACACGUGCAUAUUUAGUUUCGCUAGUUAUGUACAAACAUAUUAUGUAGAAAAUUAUAAAUUGUACAAAUUCAAACUAUACUUAAUCGGGGCGACUGAAUUGCGCCCCAUUGGAAAGGGCGCAUUUUAGCACACACACAAUUCUUUAAAUCCUGAUAGGCUGCCUUUCUAGAAUGAGUUAUUAACUGAAUUUUAAACCGAAAAGAAUCCUGAAAUGUGCCCCAUUGGAAAGGGUGCCUUUCAGGUUUUUCUACAUAAGCAAAAGAAUUUGUAAAAUCCUGAUAGGCUGCCUUUCCAGAACAUGUUAUAGACUUCCUUUUAAGACAAAACUUAUCCUGAAAUAUGCCCCAUUGAAAAGGGCGCCUUUCAUGUUUUUCUUCAAAUGCAAAACAAUUUACAAAAUUCUGAUAGGCUGCCUUUCCAGGGCUUGAUUUUUGCUUUGUUGUUUGCGGGAAAUUAUCCUGAAUUGUGCCCCAUUGGAAAGGGUGCCUUUCAGAAAUUUUUAGUUUUUGUUAGAUCGUUGUGGGCACUGAAUAGUGCCCCAUUGGAAAGGCCGCCUUUAAGGUUUUUUCCUUAUGCGCAUACAGUUCGUAAAAUCCUGAUGGGCUGCCUUUCCAGAGUUGGCUGUUCGCUUUGUUUUAAGCGAAAGAAAACCCUGAAUUGUGCCCCAUCGGAAAGGCCGCCUUUAAGGUUUUUUCCUUGUGCGCAUACAGUUCGUAAAAUCCUGAUGGGCUGCCUUUCCAGAGUUGGCUGUUCGCUUUGUUUUAAACGAAAGAAAACCCUGAAUUGUGCCCCAUCGGAAAGGCCGCCUUUCAGGUUUUUCCCUUGUAUGCAUACAGUUCGUAAAAUCCUGAUGGGCUGCCUUUCCAGAGUUGUCUGUUCGCUUUAUUUAAAGCGAAAGAAAACCCUGAAUUGUGCCCCAUCGGAAAGGCCGCCUUUCAGGUUGUUUCCUUGUACGGAUACAGUUAGUAAAAUCCUGAUGGGCUGCCUUCCCAGAUUUUUUGUGUAAUUUUGUGUUAAGCCAAAUCUGUCCUGAACAAAAUUAUACAAAUACAAUUAAACAUUAGAUAUUACCAGUGGGUGAAAUUAAUUUUCGGAAUAGUAUAGACCUUCAUUCCUUACAGAAUUUUAAUACGCCUACGCGUAAUUGUUACUUUAAGAAUUGAGUGCUCUCUAGUAUUGAAGACCAGUAACAUAUUACAUACUCUUUGUUCCGGAAACAACUACUGAUGACUCUAAAAGCAAUGCAAAGUUUUUCCAGCAAUGUUAGUUGAUCGUGUGGGAUGAAUGCACGAUGGCACAUAAAAAGUCUUUGAGGGCGUUAGACAGAACUAUGAAAGAUCUGCGAAACAAUAAAAACAUAUUUGGUGGACCGAUGAUUUUGUUAGCAGGAGAUUUUCGUCAAACAUUACCAGUGAUUCCACGGUCAACGCCAGUGGAUGAACUCAGUGCAUGUUUAAAGUCCUCCAUUUUGUGGAAAUACGUCAAGAUACUAAAUUUAAGCAAUAAUGUGCAUGUGGAAUUACAAAAUGAUCGAUCUGGAGAAAUAUUUUCUAAACAACUAAUUGACAUUGGUAAUGGCAAAAUCCCUGUAGAUAUUUUGACUGGCUGCAUUUCAUUUCCUGUCAAUUUUUGUCAGUUUACUGAAACAAAAACCAAGCUCAUACAUAAGGUGUUCCCAAACGUCGCUCAAAAUUACAAAGAUAAUUUUUUGUUGAGCGAACGUGCUAUCAGCUGCCAAAAACACGGAUGUAAAUGAAAUAAACUUCAAAAUUCAAAAUGAAAUUGACUAUAAAUUAAGGACAUACUACAAAUCAGUUGAUUGCGCAACUAAUCAAGAUGAUGUCAACUAUCCCCCAGAAUUUUUGAACUCAUUGGAUUUGUCAAGAUUGCCACUCUAUAAUCUUCAAUUGAAAGUAGGAUCAGUAGUAAUAAUGUUAAGAAAUAUUAACCCUCCGCAUCUUUGUAACGGUACACGUCUAGAAGUGAAAAAUUUACUUAACAAUGCAGGGGUCGAAAAUGGUCACUUAACUCGCUUACAGUCACUUAUUUUGCAUCAAUCACUUUUUUGUCACUUUUUUUUUUAAACAGUCACUUAAUUUACUUUUUUUUCUUUCGAUAUUGGUGCCCAAAAUUUGCAUUUCCGUUUAUGAUAGUGACAUUAAUUAAAUGCUUGAUUUGUGUUUUUGACCGUAAUCAAGGUAUUUGCCGUUUACCAUAACACGGAUUGUGUCGAGAUCGUUUUUUACAUGCGUAAAAGCAUAAACAACAACUGAAGUCGAACUAUCCAUUAAUCGAUCGGCUGACGUGAUGGCAGAUAACCUAUGUUCGCGCCAGUGUGUUCUGUAGUUAGUCUGAUUACGGUCUUAAGUUAGUUUUGUCCUUAGGGGCCUUGGCUAGCGAUAUGACUUGUCAUGCUAUACUAUUAUUUGAGAUAAACAAGUAACCGAGAAAUAAUAUUGUAGUGUUUUGAUGUUUUCUUGUGUGGUGAAGAUGGGGAAGUGUCGUUUUCGUAGCGAGUGGCUAGAGAGGCGCGAUGAUAAUGGAUAUAUCAUUAACGAGUGGGCAAAAAAACGUAACAAUACUGAUGUUGUUUGUGCAGUUUGCUGUGUCACAAUCAAAAUAUCAACCAAAGGGUAUCAAGCACUAUCUCAGCAUGCUACUUGCGAGUGACAUAAGAGUGAAUGUCAGAAUAAGUUGGCUCCUAGUCAGCUAAAAUUCACGGUCGUUCGACCUUCAUGUUCAGCUUCCACAUCAAGUGAAGUUCCCUCAGAAAACCAUGUUAAAUGUCUUUACAGUGUACGAGAUCGUGCAACAAGUGCAGAACUGAAAUGGGUAAUGAAAUGUAUUAUUUCAAAUUAUUCAGCAUCAUCUUGUGGAGGAAUAGCUGACGUUUUUAAAAGUAUGUUUGGUGAGGGUGUGCCUGAGGACUUCAGCCUGAGCAGCACUAAAUUUAGUUAUCUACUAACAGAUGCAUGAAGCCCAUAUUUUCGCAAUGUUAUUUUGAAAGACAUGGAUGGUGCAUACUAUUCAGUAUGCUACGAUGAAACAACAAACCACACAGGUAGAAAGGAACUGCAAAUUGCUAUCAGGUACUGGUCUAAAACGAAGCUACAGAUUAUCACUCACCAUCUUGAAACCUUUUUUAUUGGAUCAGCAACAGGCAAAAUACUAGUUGAGAAUAUUAAUUCUGCACUAGACAAUACCGAGUUACUUCGUCAGAAGGUAUUAAUGUUAGGGAGUGAUGGCCCUAAUGUCAACAAGAAAGUUGCUCGUAUUAUAUGUGAAGAGUUGGUUUCUAUUCGCAAGGCACCCAUUUUUAAUAUUGGCACAUGCAGCAUCCACACACUUCACAAUGCAUUUCUCAGUGGACUUGAUAAACUUGGAGAAGAUGUAGCUGAUUUGGUAAUGGCUGUCCAUGAUUUUUUUUAUUGUUGGCCUUCAAGAUGUGAGGACUACUUACAAAUACAAGAUGACCUAUCUGUUCCAAAACAUAGUUUCAUUAAGCAUGUUCCGUCAAGGUGGCUUACCUUAGAAGGAGCUGCAUCACGACUGAUCGAACAAUGGGAAGCUCUCAAAAAAUACUUCUUAAGUUAUGUCCCCAAGAAGAGAAAUAGCCUAGGCAAGAGCAACAACUACAAGAGAAUAGUGAGUUUACUAAAGAAGCCUACUAUAAAGGAUGAACUUCUUUUCGUGUGCAGUAGUGCCAGACUAUUCACACGCUUCACUGGUGCAUUCCAGAAGGAAGAACCAAUGAUACAUGUUAUGCAUGAUGAACUAGACACUCUUGCUAAGAGUUUGUUUGGAAAGGUUUGCAAAUCAGAACUUAUACAAACUGUUGGUGUACGUGAAGAUUUACUAAAAACAGAGAACCUACUUCCUGCCCAGAAAAUCCAUGUUGAGAAAGAGAUUUUGACAGAAAUUUCAAAGGUAAGUUCUAGAUUUAGUUGUUUAAGAUUUAAUUCAAAUUGUUCUUUCAGGGUGGCCACUUGACCUGGAAUUUUUUUUACCCCCUGUAAGGAACAGUAGGGAAUUUUUUUUUAAGAACAUGGAAUCAUUUUUGUUUUGCAAUAUAUUUCUUAUAGUAGCCUUUCAUUUUUAACUUUGGUUCCAACGUGUAAACAAUGUACUAAAUUAUGCACAGAUCAUCGCAGUAAGUGCAAUAAACCAUUUUGCAAUUGUCUAGAAUAGAGGCAUUUUCAAAAAUGUUUAAAAAAUUAGAAUAUUUAUUAAUUAAAUAGUAUUCACCUCCUUUAAUGACACUGUAAAAGAUUUUUUUGAAUUUGGAAUUUUUUUUACCCCUAUUAUCAACCUCCCCCCUCAAGGCUAGUUUAAUACGUUUGUGCCUGCUGGUUUUUUUGAAAUAUCUAUCAUUUAUUUUUAAAAAGGAGAUCCCUAAAAAAAAAAACUAGCAGGCAGGAGGUAUGAUUAACUUACCUCGAAAUGUUAUUGAUAAUAGGGGUGAAAAAAAUUCUAAUUUAAAAAUAAUUUUAGGUUAUUAAUGAGAAAGGUUGUUACUAUUGAGUGCACCCUAUUUUCAAAUUUUAAUUUGACAUUUUUUUAAGUUUUUCCACACGAGACCCUUUUCUAGACAAUUACCAACAAUUUUACACCUGGUAAAUUUGUUGUAGGAUUUGCUUUUGCAGUUAGGAUAUAUAAGUAUAUAUAGUGGGCACCCUAACUCUUGGUUCGAAACACAUUUACAAAUCAUUAAGGGUAUAUGUUACAGGUGGAUGAAAGGUUUCAGCUGGAGUUUUUGGCCGGAGUGAAAAACCAUUAUGUUGAAGGUGUUACUCAUGUUAUCAGAAAGUCACCCCUAAUAUUGAAACCACUUCUGAAGAAUUGCUGUUGCCUCCAGCCAGAAGAAAGGGUUUUACACCGCAGUUAUCGAGACAUUGUUGCUCUAGCAAAGGGUCUGCCCAUUGUAAUUGAUGAAAGUAUUCUGUUAGAUGAAUGGAAACUACUCCAGUGUGAAAAGGAAAGUGUGUGUGGUGGCCGUAUAGAUGACUACUGGGCUCAGUUUUUUGUUUUGAAGAACAGCAUUGGUGAUGAUAAAUACCCAAACGUUGCUAAAGUUGUAAAAUCUGUUUUGGCUCUUUCACACGGAAAUGCUGACUUAGAGCGAGGGUUUACUUUGUCCUUCCACAUCUUAACUCAAGACAAAGCUUCCUUGUCGGAAAGAACAUUCAAUGCAGCAAUGACUGUCAAGAGUGCAAUAAUGAAGAUGUACCACAGCAAGCCUGAUUUGGUUCCCAUUACAAGAGAGCUAUUAGCAAUGGCUCGUGUAGCUCAUAGCAGCUACCUUACAUACUUGCGAAAUGAGAAGGCUUUAAAAGAAGAAGCAGCUCGGAAGAAGUUGGAAACGGAUGAAAAUAAAUUAGUGGAAGCAGAGAGAAUACAAAAACUGAAAGAUGAGAGAAAGAUAAUAGCUGGUGCUGAGAACAAAUUGAAGAGUUUGCAAAGUGAAGAGCAGCAAAAAGAAAGAUAUGCAGGAAAUUGGAUUGGCCCAGGCCAUGUUGGAAGGUGUUAACAGAGUCAGAAAAGAAGCUGGAAAGAAGAAGCUUGAGGUUGAUACUGUACAACACUCAGUGGAGAAAAGGAAAUCUAAAAUUAUUUCUGACUACUUUUCAAAAUACUCAAAAAAUUAGAUAUUUUGUGUUGAUGGAGUUUUCUGACAUAAGUUUGCUGAUGUUGAAUUGUUCUUAAAUUGGACUAGAUACAGUUUUGUAGUAGGCCUAUGGUGUCUUCUUAAUUAAUAUAAUUUUUAGUUCAUUUUAUAAGACAUUAUAAAAAUGUUAAUCUUGACAGAAUUUUCAUGGAAACCACUUUUAAGUCACAGUUUACACAGUUGACUUCUCUUUCACCAUCUUAGGUAUGUGAAUAAUUUGUUUCUUUUAAUUUUGUUCUACUGGUGCGUAAUUUGUAACUUGUGUGUUUUUAAAUAGUUAAUAGAAUAACUGUCAGUAUUUUAUUAGAUCCAUAUAUAACCUAACAUUUUAUUUUACUACAAUCAGAAUUUUUUGUAACUUUUAUUUCAGUUAUUUCAGGUCACCUUUUUAGUCACUUAUUUUCCUGGAGAUCACUUUUUUUUUUCUCACUUUUUCUAUCACAAAGGUCACUUUUCUCACUUUUUUCCAGGCAAUAAAGUACUUUGAGGCCUGCAAUGUGAUCCAAGCAACAAUUCUAAAAGGAAAUUCUAAGGGAGAAGAUGUGUUGAUACCUCGCAUCCCAAUGGUAACAACUGACAUACCAUUUGAAAUUAAACGACUAAAAUUUCCAAGGCGGCGUGCUUUUGCUAUGACUGUAAAUAAAUCCCAGGGUCAGGCGUUGAGUGUUUGCGGCGUUAAUCUUGAAAACCCAUGUUUCUAUCAUGGACAGUUUUAUGUCGCCUGCUCCCGCGUUGGGAAACCGUCAGCUUUAUUUGUUUACGCGCCAGGCAACCAAACAAAAAAUAUUGUAUACCAUAAAGCAUUAGAAUGAAUAUCAACACAUUUAUAAAGUAUUGUAGUGUACGAAAUAAAAAAAUAUUUUUGUAAGUAAUCGUUGUUUAUUGUUGAGAAAAUAAUUAACGUGAUCACUCAGAAAUACAUUUUAUUUAUUUAAUUUUUUUUUGCCAUCUUUUACCAGAACGUGAAUCCCUAUUUCCCUUCGUCACGGCAGCACGAGUUAAUGUCUGGACCAAUUUCGCUACAUCCUUUUUUUUUUUUUUUGUUUUGUUUGUUAUUGUCAGGAGACGGUUCUUAUGAAGUUGCGUGGAAAAUUAGAAAAUUUAACAAAGUAAAACUUUGCGCAAUUGAUCGAGCUGCCUCACGUGCUAACUUACUAGGUGUGCUGUUACCACUACAAGAUAUGUGAAUAAUCAGUCUUUCAAGGUAGGGAGGUAGGUGGUAGGUAGCUAUGUCAGAGUAGGUUCGUAGAUAAGUAAUAUUGGAAAAAUUCUAAGGACAGGACAACGUCUGUCGGGUCAGCUAGUAUACGAAUAGAAUUUAAAUAAGUAUUGCUCACAUUGCCACAACUUUUCAAAAUGAUUGCAAUUUAUUAUGAUCGAUUUAGAAUGAUCGAGAAAGUUCUAGAAAUUUUCCGAAUGAUCUGGAAAGUUCCAAAAUGAGUGCAAUUGAUUAUGAUCGAUUUAGAAUGUUCAGGAAAGUUCUAGAAAAUUCUAAAAUGGAUGCAAUUUAUUAUAAGCAAUUUCAAAUGUUCGAGAAAGUUCUAGAAAUGUCUUGAAUGAUCUAGAAAAUUCUAAAAUGAGUGCAAUUUAUUAUAAGCGAUUUAAAAUGUUCGAGAAAAUUCUAAAAUUUUUUGGAUUGGUCUGUAAAGUUCCAAAAUGUGUACGAGUGUUGUUAUUGAUCUAAAAGAACGAAAUCGAAGUGAUGCACAUCUAAAUAUUCUUGAGUGAUCUGGUACUGGAAAUGUCGGUGUCUGAUGGUAUAUAAACGGAAAUUCAGUGACUUUUUGUCAAUUCAAUCGUGUUUGCAGUCGAGUGUAGAUCAAUUGGAAUCAAGAGUAAACAGUUACAGAAAAAAAUCAAGUGAUUUUCACAAGUGAAAAAGAACAAACUAUUUGAAUGUUCUGUACUGUUCUAAUACUAGAAAUUUCGGUCGCUAAUGGUAUAUAAACUGAAAUGCAGUGACUUUUCGUCAGUGUUAUCAUUGUAACAAUCAAGAGAUUUAUUUUGUGUAACUUUUUUACAUCGUUGUUAUAUAUAUACAAAAUGCGAAAGCAGAAAAAAGUAUUUACCAAAUCUAAAGUGGAUUCACAAAGAAGAAAAGUAACACGUAAAAAUGAAACAGAAGAACAAAGGGAAAAACAGCUUUCAAAUAUUCGUCAAGGCGUGAAAAGACUUAUAGAAAAACAAACCGAAGAAGAAAGAGCACGCACUAACAUAGAAACCCGAUCCCGAGUCAAAUUGAUUCGAAAUCAUCAGUCUGCUGACCAACGUGAAUUGGAAAAUAGAAAAAGUAAAGCAACAAUGGGCACUCUAUGCCAACAAGCUGCUACAUAUGAGAGUUUAGAACUUCAGGCAUUAUAUUAUGAUUGCCAAAAAAAUAUUUUGACCAUCCAAAUAUUGUCAUAGGAAAAAUGGAUACGAUAUGCGAGUAUUGCCAUGCACGGAAAUUCAAGGGAGAAACUGCUGGUAUGUGCUGCUCAAGUGGUAAAGUCAAUUUACCAGCAUUAAAUGUACCACCACCAGAAUUACUCGCAUAUAUGAAUGGAGAAUCACCAGAUUCCAAUCAUUUUCUACAAAUUAUACGUCGGUACAACUGUUGUUUUCAAAUGACUUCAUUUGGAGCUACUUUAAUAUGCCAGGAAGAAAAUUUCAGUCCAGUUUUCAAGGUUCAAGGUAAAAUUUAUCACCAAGUAGGGUCACUCAUGCCGAUGUCUAAUGAGACUCCAAAGUUUCUUCAAGUAUACUUUAUUGGUAACGAAGACCUUGAAAUAGAUCAACAUUGCUCUCACAUUAAGGGACUACAACGAGACAUUAUUCAAAAAUUAUGUCUACUUCAUAAUCAUAAUCACCUAAUCAAUGUGUUUAAAACUUCUUUAGACCAAAUGGUUGCAGACAAUCAUAAGACUGUCAUUCGCGCAGAUAAACGACCAGCCGGUCAACACGAACGAAGGUUCAAUGCACCUCAAACGAACGAAGUUGCUGUAGUAAUUGAUGAUAACGAAUAUAGUCGUGAUAUUAUUAUCCAACGCCGAAGUAAUCAAUUGCAACGUAUUGCUGAAACACAUCGUAGUUAUGAUGCACUACAGUAGCCGCUAAUUUUUUGGCAAGGUGAGGAUGGUUAUCACUUUAAUAUUCAACAAAUCGAUCUAGCUACAAAUGUCGAAACUAACAAAAAAGUAUCAGGUAUGCAAUUUUAUGCUUAUGGAAUUAUGACGAGAAAUGGUGAAUAUAACCAUAUUUUACAUUGUCAGCAAUUAUUUCAGCAGUUUAUUGUGAUUUAUGUAUGCUAAAAUUGAGAUGGAAAGAUUAGAAUUUAUUCGCCAUAAUCAACUAAAGUUGCGUUCGGAUGAAUAGGCUACAUUCAUUUGAACGAUGUUAUGAUGAAUGAUGGAAACGUCGAUAACAUGGGAAAAUUGGUCAUCUUACCAUCUACGUUUACUGGAAGUCCACAUCAUAUGCAUGAAUAUGCUCAAGAUGCGAUAACUUUGUCAGAAAACACAGCCGACCAUAUUUAUUUAUAACAUUUACAUGUAAUUCUUUAUGGGUGGAAAUAAAAAGAUGAAUUACAAUAUGGACAGGCGGCCAGUGAUCGACAUGAUAUUGUUGUCCAAGUUUUUUGUCAAAAAUAAAUUAAAUUUAUUGUAGCCAUCGUAAAAAAUCAAAUAUUUGGUGCUGUUACAUGCUGGAUGUUUUCAAUUGAAUGGCAGAAACGAGGAUUGCCACAUUCUCACAACUUAAUUUGAUUCAAAAAAGAAUUCAACCGAAUCAAAUAGAUUAUAUCAUCGAGGCUGAGUUUCCAAACCCGGAAGAAUAUCCUGAUCUUUAUAAUAUAAUAGUGAUAAACAAGGUUCAUGGCCCAUGUGGUGAACUAAAUAGAAGAUCCCCGUGCAUGAAAGAUGAAAAAUGUACAAAACGUUAUCCGAAGCCACUUUUGAACGAAACAAUCACCGGUGAAGACGGAUAUCCGAAAUACAGACGUCGACCACCAGAAUAAGGCGGAUUUACAGCUAAAAUUAAAGUACGAGGCAAUGAAGAAAUUCAAAUUAACAAUCAAUGGGUAGUUCCAUACAAUCAACUUUUAUCCAAAAUGUUUAAUGCCCAUAUCAAUGUUGAAUACUGUAGUUCUGUCAAAAAGAUUAAAUAUGUGUGCAAAUAUAUUAAUAAAGGCAGUUUUUACGGUAACCAAGAAAACCAACAUGAUGAGAUAAUACAGUAUCAAAUGGGUCGUUACAUCAAUACCAACGAAGCGAUUUGGCGAAUUUUAAGUUUUCCCAUUCACGAUCGAGUUCCGCUGGUUCUCCAUUUAUCCGUCCACUUAGAAAAUGGACAACGUGUGUUUUUCAGUACAGAAAAGGCACAAAAAGUUGCGACAGAACCACCAACACGAACAACUUUUAACAGCAUUUUUUCGAAUUAUGCCAGAAAGAUCCAUUUGCUAAGACUUUACUUUAUUCAGAAGUACCAAGUUAUUAUACAUGGAAUACAACAAGUAAACAAUAUAAUUCUCGAAUACGUGGAAUGCCAGUAAAAGGACAUGAUGGAGUAUUCAAGAGUAACACAAUAGGACGAGUCUACAUAGUGCAUCCAAGAAACGCUGAAUGUUUCUAUCUACCUUUAUUACUACACACUAUUCGUGGCCCAACGUGAUUUGAAGACCUAAAAACUAUCAAUGGUUACAUUUGUGAAAAGUAUCGAGAGGAAUGUCAAAGAUUAGGCCUACUAGAAAACGAUAAUCAUUGGGAGUUAGCUAUGAAUGAAGCAGUCCAAAUGGCAACAGCGAAACAAAUUCGUGAGCUAUUUGCAAUUAUAUUAACUACAUGUAAUCCUUCUAAUCCAAAUCGACUAUGGCUUAAAUAUCGAGAAUAUAUGAGCGAUGACAUCUUGGCUGACUACAACGACAAAACCCGGACUUAGAAAUUUAUUUUAAUGAAGAAAUUUUUAACAAAGCUUUGAUUUUGAUAGAAGAUAAAUGUUUAACAAUAUCUAACCAAACGUUAGUACAACUAGGUGUUCAAUCUCCUAAACGAAGUCAUUUGGAUGCUAUGAACAGUGAAUUUUUAAAAGAAACAUAUUAUAGAAUUGACAAAUUGGGGCUUUACAUCCAACACAACAAACCCGUAUUAAUUUAGAGUCAAAAAUAGGCAUAUGAUAUAAUAAUGUAUUACUAUAGAAAACAGAAAGGUGGAAUAAUAUUUUUAGAGGCACCUGGCGGCACCGGGAAAACAUUUUUGAUCAAUUUUAUUCUAGCUGAAAUCCGUGCAAAUAAAGAUUGUUCUCGCCCUAGCAUCAUUGGGGAUAGCGGCUACACUCAUGGAUGGUGGACAAACAGCGCAUUCUGGUUUGAAAUUACUAUUAAAUGUAGCUGACUAUGAAUUUCCGGUAUGUGACAUCACAAAAUCAUCAGCACGUGGACAAAUAUUGAAACAUAGUCCAGGAAAGAUAUGAAAAAAACAUGGACAAAUUGCAAGAAAAGGUUUUUUACAUCAAAAUUCUCAGAAAAAUUCGUAGAAUAACAUAUCCAAAAUCCCCCGAAAUCCACUAUUUUUGGUACCUUUUUUCCGGGGUUUUGUUCCGGAAAUACGCGAAAAAAAAUAAUAACUAAAAAACGGUGCAUCUGACAACAAAACUUAUUAUCUUUGAAAGAUUUGUGCAAUGGGAGUGCAUGACUUGAUGUAGGCUUUGGACAUACGCCAUUGCUUAGCACAUGUAUGUCUGCAGAAGAAAACUACAAAAAAACACAAAUGACAAAAAACACAAAUUAAGCAAAAAUUGCUGUUGUCAGGAUUUGACGCCACACAAUAUUCCACAACAGGAAUAUGAUCAACAAACAAGGAAAAAACAAAGAAAAAUUGACUAACAGAACGAAAAAAAAACCACAAAUGAUGACAGCACAAAAAUUCCGAACCCAAAAAAAUUCAACACAACAGUUGAAACGAGACAAAAAACACAGCAAAACCAAAAGACGAUACAAACACAAUAGUUUUCCAAAAAAACAAAAAACAAAAGAGAAAUGAAAAAACCCCCACAAUUGAUGACAGCACAAAAAAUAUUGAACCCAAAAAAUUCAGCACAACAGUCAAAACGAAACAAAAAACACAACCAAACGAAAAGCUUGUUUCUGUUUUAGAAAACUGUUGUGUUUGUUUCGUCUUUUCGUUUGGUCGUGUUUUUGUCUCGUUUUGACUGUUGUGCUGAAUUUUUUGGGUUCAAUAUUUUUUGUGCUGUCAUCAUUUGUGGGGGUUUUUUCGUUUCUCUUUUUGUUUUUUUGGAAAACUAUUAUGUUUGUUUCGUCUUUUCGUUUUGCUGUGUUUUUUAUCUCGUUUUAACUGUUGUGUUGAAUUUAUUUGGGUUCGGAAUUUUUGUGCUGUCAUCAUUUGUGGUUUUUUUUUGUUCUGUUAGUCCAUUUUUCUUUGUUUUUUCCUUGUUUGUUGACCAUAUUCCUGUUGUGGAAUAUUGUGUGGCGUUAAAUCCUGACAACAGCAAUUUUUGCUUAAUUUGUGUUUUUUGUCAUUUGUGUUUAUUUGUAGUUUUCUUCUGCAGACAUACAUGUGCUAAGCAAUGGCGUAUGUCCAAAAGCCUACAUCAAGACAACAAAACCUGUAGAGACAAAAAUUAAAGAACAUUAACUUUUCCAUAACAUAUCCAAAGUUCAAGCAAAUCCGCUUAUAAAUUCUGCUUGGUUUUCCGGGAUUAGUCCCGGAAAAAAAUAUUAAAAAUGAAAUAAAUCGAAAAUUGUGCACUUUACAGCAUAAUGAUUUAGGAAAAAGAUAAAGUAAACAAUGUUUUUCUUAAUAUGUUAGAAUUUCACACAGAUCAACAUUUAAUUGUUUUUUUUUUGUUUUCCAGGAAAUGUCCCGGAAAAAAGUUACCAAAAGAGAGAAAAAAAACGGAAACCGUGCACCGAACUUCAAAAUGAAUCGUGAAUUAAAUUAAGGGCAAAAAAAUUGUAUUAUAUAAUUGACCUUUAUCACAAUAAAUUAUGGAUUAGCAACUACUGUAUUUGAUGGAUAUGGGAAAACUCACAGUACUAAAGACACAGCACAUAUGAGAAGAACAAGAGGUAAUGCAUCACCUGUAGUUGAAUUCACAGGAGAAAUGCAACUAUCACUCCGUAAAGAUAUGUUUCUUUUGAAGGAGCGAAAUAAAGGACAAUUUUUAAGGUUAUUAGAAUACAUGUACGCGAAGCAGAAUGUCCUGUUGUCGAAGCACCAGGUGAUGCAGAUAUUUACAUUGUCCAAGAAGAUCUAAAAUGUGCAAAAGAACAGUUGACAACAGUUAUAGGAACAGAAACAAAUUUACUUGUCCUUUUACUCUACUACUUUGACCCACAAUCACAUAACUGCUUGUGUUUAAAAAGUGAACAAAGGCAGAAGAAAACAUAUCACAUUAAGGAGCUAAAGCUGAAGCUCGGUGAUGAAAUUUGUAGUAAUAUUCUUUUCUGCCAUGCAUUCAUGGGAUGUGACACAUCACACAUAGCCUAUAUGGUAUAGGAAAAGGGAAAAUAAUGGAUCUGAUCCUUGCCUUCAGGCAACUUGCGAAAGUAUUUUCAGAUAGUAUUCCCAGUGUGUCAAAGAAGACAUUGUAAAAUCGGGAGAACAGCUGCUAGUACGCCUGUACAAUGGGUCGAGAAGUGACACACUCGACACUUUGCGUUUUAAAGUGUUUAGUGAGAAAGCAGCUACUAGUUCCAAAUGUGUACAACCAGAACAGUUACCUCCAACUAGUGCUUCAGCUCGUUUCCAUUUCUUAAGGGUUUUCUAUCAGAUACAAGAAUGGAAGGGAAUUAAGAUGAAUCCAGAAGAAUGGGGAUGGAGAAAAUGUGGCCACCUUCUCUUGCCAAUUUCGACAGACAAGCCAACAGCUCCGGAAUGCCUUUUGAAGGUAAUCAGGUGCACUUGCAAGGAAGAUGGUUGCGGUGCAUCCAACUGCAGUUGUAGGAAACACGGCAUCUCAUGUUCUUCGGUUUAUGGAAACUGUCAUGGAUCAACCUGUAAAAACCGGCGUAAAUUACCUCCCGAGGAAUGAAAUUACUGUGACGGCUUUUAAGAUGUCUGCUGUCACCAUUGAUGACCUCCCUCCAGAAUUAAUGAUGAAAAUCUUUGAGUCCUUGAGGCCGGAGGAACUGUUGAGUGUCCAGGACGUGAGCACCAAGUGGCAGGUGUUUGCUCGAACCUCUUCUGUGUGGAAGACCUUUGUGUAUUCACCAGAGACAGAUUCCAGCGAGGAAGAUGUGAUCGCUUUUGUGGAGAAGUGUCCUAUGUUGAAGCACAUUCAUACCAAAAAAUGUUUUAACAAAGAUAAGAUUAUUCCUGCUGUCAUCAAAAAUUGUUAUGAUAUUCACAGUCUUUGUGUUGAGUUCAUGCCAUCACUGGAAAUUUCACAACUUGAAGCUUUAUUUGAAGCCUUUCCAAAUAUAGACACUUUGUUGAUCAGGAUUAAGCAACAUAAUGCAUCUGAGAUUGUAGACAGACUGGGUAGAUGUACAAAGCUGAAGAAACUCAUACUAAGUGGUCAACGUUGUCAUGACGGUGUAUUAAAGCCAAUUGUUGAUGGAUGUCCUUCUCUAGAAUACUUGAGCUUUAUUGGGGGGUUUCCAAAUGAUCCUAAAUCAGAUAUUCUGUAUGUGUUACAAAAUAUGAAUGAUAGGUUAUCGUAUCUGCGGUUUGGGUUUUCCCCGAUAACACAGCAGAUUGUAAAUUUACUUGGAACUUUCACUAAACUUGAAGAAGUUUUGUUACAUGAUUCAACACUUAACCGUAAUGUGGAUUUUAGACCCCUGGCCAACAUAAAAACCUUGAAAUGUUUAAAAUUUCAAACUUUUGCUUCAGAAUUCAGUGAAAUGUGCAGGUUUUUAGAUGUUUUGUUUGAUCAACCUUUUCCUUUGCUAGAAAAGUUGGACAUAUGUUUUGUUCAUUGUGAGUAUGACAAGACUGUGUUACAGAAAAUUUGUCAAUGUUACCCAAACUUGAAAUAUUUGCGCUUGUAUGGAAAACAUCCUGCUGAUAUCAAAGAUGGUUUUAAGGAUAUCUGUAAGUUGCAGAGACUAGAAAGUCUAGGAUUUUCUUCAAGUAAGACUGUAACGGAUGAUGAUAUUGAAACGUUAAGUCAUUGCCUUAAGCUGAAAGAACUUGAUUUAAGUGCAAAUCACUUGCUUACAGAUAAAACUAUUGUGCACCUUGUGAAAUGUAAGACCCUAGAAACUCUGUAUCUUAGUUAUUCUUCAAUUACUGGGGAAAACCUGCAUAUUGUUGCUGAAAAUUUGAAACGACUCAAAAUUCUGGAUGUAAAGCAGUGCAAAUAUUUGGAUGAAAAGAAUUUAUCAGCACUUGCUGAUAAGAUGCCUCUUUUAAAAAUAAUUAAAGAUGGAGGUAUUUGUUAUGGAUGAGAUAUUUUAUGAGUGUACAUAAGAUACAAAGAUUAUUAUAAUGUUAUCAGUGCUUUGGUAUAACAAAUGCUUGUUGGUUAUAGAUAAAGUAUAUAUUUGUGGAUUAUCUUCCAUAGAUUUAGCACUGACAGAGGUUACAGCUGUUCCAGUGGAUGGACCUUGAACUAGAUUUUUAAUAAAUGUUCAUGUUCAUUCAUAUAAAUAUAAAAAAAUUUACUGGAAUGUUUGUAUUAAAAAUAUAAACAAAUUAAUGUAUUAAUUUUAUAAUAUACCUAGUGCUGCUUACAUAAUUGUUAGUUCUGUUGCAUAACCAGUUGUUUUAACUUCCUAACACAUUAAUUUGAAUGAUAUUUAAUAAGUUAUACUGUAGUUGGAUUUUAUAACUUCAAGUUUAUUUGUUGUUUGUUAUCACAAAUAGUGACCACUGACCUUGAAAGUACAUGGGAUAAUUUUUUUCAUCAAGAUAUAACUUUUGGUACAUGAAGUAGAUGAAUGCAAUUGAUGUCAACAAAGAUUUUAUGUUUAUUUAUUUGUCAAGUUAAUGCAAAUAUGAUUUUAGAAAUUUGUAAAAAUUCAAAUUGUACUUAAAAUCAAUCAGAUCUUUUUGUUAUGUAACACAUGUGUAUAUUUAGUUUGGCUAGUUAUGUACAAACAUAUUAUGUACAAAAUUAUAAAUUGUACAUAUUCAAACUAUACUUUAAUGUGGGGGGACCAUUUCUUGUAUGACACAAAUAUGUCACCAACUUGUUCAUGUCUUACUUAUUUUGAAAUAAAACAAAAAGUCUGAACCA